AAACUCUGCCCGAAUUCUGCCUCCCGGCUUGGCUUUCGGAGGUGAAACCACCCAAAACACACAGCCCUGCUGAAGCGGGCGAGCGGCUGAAGUGCAGCGCUCCAGCUGUCCUGCAAAUUGAGGGAAACUCCGAAGGCUUUGAGAGGCGCGCGGUGCUGACAGCCCGGCUCGGGAUUCAGGUGUCCCCUGCGGUCACACACCUGCUCUGCAGCAGACGGGAAGCGCCAGCCAUGUGCCCACCACGUGUGCAACUGGGAAAACAUCUGGAACAGCGUCGGGCUGGAGCACGAGCUGGAGCCUGCACCAGCUGCUGGCACAAAUCCCAACUCUCUGACCCACAGCUGGGUGAAGCAGCCAGGAAAGGAGCGAGGGUGACUCUCUGCCCAUGGAGGUGCAGCUUUGUAAGGAAAUUCACAUCUCUAGAUUAACUCACCUCUUAAAAAGCAUGGCCUGAGGCCAUCCUGACCCCUUCAUCCCAGUACUCCGUGUGGAAAGCCGGGUUUAGUUCCUCAAGAGCAGGAAAACGCAUUGAGUUGGACUUGCUAAGGUUAACACAGUGAUAUGCAAAAGCUAAAUCCAAGUGAAAACACAUUUCUUCUUCACAAACAAGCCCAGAUGCAGACAAACACCCUGCAGAGAUGUCAGUGCUGCUGCAGGGUCAUAGCAAAGGGAACAAUCCCGCAGGACAUUCCCCAGAUUUGUGUUGUCUGCCAAGUGGGGAGGGCACGGAAAUCAGCCAAAGGGAUUCAACAUCCCAAAAUUCAAUAUUGGAAAAGCCACAGUGUGAGUGGAGAAGCUUUUCUCUCCAGAGCUGAAUGUGGCUCAGCUCAGGUGCGUUUUGUUUGCUAAGAAAAUCAAUAUUUGCCAUGCAAACAGCUACCUGUGUCCAUGACAGGGACAAUUAUUUUCAUUCUCUGAAAAGCUGUGCCCUGGAAGGACUCAAUUUCCAGAGUACCCAGCACUUGAAAGGCUUUUAAAUGUGCUCACAGAGCUGCUGGAAGCCCAGAGAAACCCACAACUCCUUUCAAAGGUGGCAAAAUCCCUUUCAAAUCCUUUUUCCCUGACAGCUAUUGAUGAAGAAUAAAUGUCCUUUGCUCCCAAACGCAGACGGAUUUGGAGCAACGAUUUCAAGAUGAAACAAUCCGUCUCCUGUUUCCAAUGUGAGCCACAGCAUCAACCAGACUUUUCCCCACAUGGCAGAGCCCAGCUGGACAUCACUGCCUGGUGCAGGGCAGUGCAGGAACCAGGCACAGCCUGCACAGCCUCGGGCAGCUCAGACUGUCCCAGCCCCUGCAGCAGGGACAGUUUUUGCUGCUUGGCACCACCCCAGGGCCCUCCUGGGGAGCAGCAUCUCUGCUGCCACAUCACCCGAGCUGCUGAGCCAGCAAAGGCCCCAGCACUGCUGCCCUGACCUCUGCAGCUGGAGUCUGGCACAUUCACAGGCCAAAAUGAGGCUUUUUUCCCCUCCCCUGGACUCCCAAUCCAAAGCUUUUCCUGCCAUCAGCUCUACUCAAAAGUAAUCCUGUAUUCAAAUCCAGUGUGAUAUUUAAAAGCUUUCUACUCCAGAUAGCCUGGCCCUAAUCCAGGUGCAUUUUACCUUAAUUCCACCUCCCAAUCUCAAGAAUGCAAAGAAUUUCCCCCUGGCUCUGUCCAGCUCAUUCCAGCAGCCCCUGCUUGCUGGCUUGUUCUUGCCAGAACUGUUAAAUACGAUUAUUUUUCCUCAAAUACCUCAGCAGCAAUGGCACAAUCCCAUUUUCUGUCUCACAUGAGGAGGAUCUCUGAUCUCUCCUUCAUGGAGAAGGAGCUGGAGGAAGUUCAGUGCUUGUGGUUUUCAUAUCUGAAGUCACUAAAGGGAGUUUGAAAAGGCAGGGGAAAAAAAAUCUGUUACCUCCUUGUAGAAUUUUGGAGCCUUCACAGAAGGAAUUGAAGGGAGGGAUUUGGAAGAUAUGAAAAAGCACACACAAAGCAGCAAGGCUGGAUUUCAG